GACGAACGCUGGCGGCGUGCUUAACACAUGCAAGUCGAACGGAAAGGCCCUGCUUUUGUGGGGUGCUCGAGUGGCGAACGGGUGAGUAACACGUGAGUAACCUGCCCUUGACUUUGGGAUAACUUCAGGAAACUGGGGCUAAUACCGGAUAGGAGCUCCUGCUGCAUGGUGGGGGUUGGAAAGUUUCGGCGGUUGGGGAUGGACUCGCGGCUUAUCAGCUUGUUGGUGGGGUAGUGGCUUACCAAGGCUUUGACGGGUAGCCGGCCUGAGAGGGUGACCGGCCACAUUGGGACUGAGAUACGGCCCAGACUCCUACGGGAGGCAGCAGUGGGGAAUAUUGCACAAUGGGCGGAAGCCUGAUGAAGCAACGCCGCGUGCGGGAUGACGGCCUUCGGGUUGUAAACCGCUUUCGCCUGUGACGAAGCGUGAGUGAAGGUAAUGGGUAAAGAAGCACCGGCUAACUACGUG
rnacentral:rRNA from 1 species